rnacentral:lncRNA from 1 species
CGCCUGGCGGCCUCGAGCACAGCCUCUGCACCCCGCUGGAAUGCACCUGCUACGCUCCUCCAGCGCCCGGACCUCCAAAGCCGGCCUCUCCCCUCUCCUGCUCCCGGCGGCGUGGGCUAUGGACUCAGGGGCACCUCUGAGCCACCCUGCAGAGGUGCACGUGGCCAUUGCCCUCGGGGCCUGCGGGGCGCUCUGGACACUGGGCAUCCUUCUUUUUGUCAUCCUCUUCCUCACAAACAGAGGGAGGGCGGAGCACUUCCUCCAGGGGCAGCCGUGGCUCUGGGAGCUGACGCACGUCGUGGCCUGGAUCUGGGCAUUCCACCUGGGGCUGACUGCGAACCUGGUGUGGGUCUGGCACCGGCUCCAAGGGCUUGACCCCAGCCAGAGGACACACUGGAUAGACAGGCUCUCCUGGACUUCGCUCACAUUCCUGCCCAUCGUCCCCUUUGCCGCGGUGGUCACCGUCAGCGCUGUGCUUCUGAUCAAGGGACAAGUGUCUUUCCAGCUCAGCAUUCGUGCGAAGAGACUGCAGAACUGGGAAGAUGUGAGUCCUGAGAAAACUGGGGGCAGAGGAGAACAAAGCGCUGGCUCAGACCUGUCCUGGGAGGAGGCAUCCGGGGGCAGUAAAGCAGAGACAAGUGACCGAGAGAUCCGGGAUGCUGGGAAGACUUAAAGGCCUCUCUCCACUGAGUCCCUCACUUCGCCCCAGAAAUUAAAGGACGGGGCCAAUCACAGCCCCGUUGUCUUGAGUGUAUGUCAUAUUAUUUUUAUUUAUAAGAUAAAUAUUGUUUUACUAGGAAGAAAAUGCCUCUUGUGUUCCUAAUUUUAAGAGGCUCUGCCACCAGGCAGGUGUGGCUACCAGAGCGCGUCCAGAGGUGAGGGGAUGCCCACAGCUCUGCAGUCGGCCUCCUAAGAGGUCCACACGAGCCUUCCUACUGAUGCAGGCUUCCUUAAACCGUGUUCCUCCCAAACUGCCAGGUGCACAGUUCGUGCCUCUGCCCACGCGGCAGCAAACGUGGACACACCUGCACAGGAGAGGAACUAUGUGAUGACAGGCCCCACGCAGGUGUGGCUUCAAGCUGCAGGUCAAAGGCGGUAGAGACGCACGUCUUUGGGGCACCCAGCGAGGGGCGAGGCGGGGCCUGCCCGGCGCUGGCGCCCCUGGAAGCUGACCCGGGGCUGGUCAGUGGGAUGAGACAGAAGGAGCUCACGUGUGGGCUCAGGAACCCAGAGGGAACCCCAGACAGAGAGGCAGUGGACAAGCGACGGCAUCCGAAUGGACGCGACCUUCCGGGGCCUCCAGGAGUGGAGAGAAUCCCAGAGACGCGGGGUUGUGCGGCGCUCUGUCCCCCUGGGGGGGUGACCUUCGCGGGGGGGGGGG